rnacentral:rRNA from 1 species
UACGUAGGGUGCGAGCGUUGUCCGGAAUUAUUGGGCGUAAAGAGCUCGUAGGCGGUCUGUCGCGUCGAUCGUGAAAACUUGGGGCUUAACCCUGAGCUUGCGGUCGAUACGGGCAUGACUGGAGUUCGGCAGGGGAGACUGGAAUUCCUGGUGUAGCGGUGAAAUGCGCAGAUAUCAGGAGGAACACCGGUGGCGAAGGCGGGUCUCUGGGCCGAAACUGACGCUGAGGAGCGAAAGCGUGGGGAGCAAACAGG